CGCGGGAUUGGGCCACGGGGGGACGGGGUGCAGCAGGCGCGAAAACUUUACAAUGCUGGCAACAGCGAUAAGGGAACCUCGAGUGCCAGGUUACAAAUCUGGCUGUCGAGAUGCCUAAAAAGCAUUUCAUAGCAAGGGCCGGGCAAGACCGGUGCCAGCCGCCGCGGUAACACCGGCGGCUCGAGUGGUAACCGUUAUUAUUGGGUCUAAAGGGUCUGUAGCCGGCCGGAUAAGUCUCUUGAGAAAUCUGGCAGCUUAACUGUCAGGCUUUCAGGAGAUACUGUCUGGCUCGAGGCCGGGAGAGGUGAGAGGUACUUCAGGGGUAGGGGUGAAAUCUUGUAAUCCUUGAAGGACCACCAGUGGCGAAGGCGUCUCACCAGAACGGACCUGACGGCAAGGGACGAAAGCUAGGGGCACGAACCGGAUUAGAUACCCGGGUAGUCCUAGCCGUAAACGAUACUCGCUAGGUGUCGGCCACGGUGCGACCGUUGUCGGUGCCGUAGGGAAGCCGUGAAGCGAGCCACCUGGGAAGUACGGCCGCAAGGCUGAAACUUAAAGGAAUUGGCGGGGGAGCACCACAACGGGUGGAGCUUGCGGUUUAAUUGGAUUCAACGCCGGAAAUCUUACCGGGACCGACAGCAACAUGAAGGCCAGGCUGAAGACUUUGCCGGAUUAGCUGAGAGGUGGUGCAUGGCCGUCGUCAGUUCGUACUGUGAAGCAUCCUGUUAAGUCAGGCAACGAGCGAGACCCACGCCCACAGUUGCCAGCGUACUCUCCGGAGUGACGGGUACACUGUGGGGACCGCCGCUGCUAAAGCGGAGGAAGGAAUGGGCAACGGUAGGUCAGUAUGCCCCGAAUAUCCCGGGCUACACGCGAGCUACAAUGGUUGGUACAAUGGGUAUCUACCCCGAAAGGGGACGGAAAUCUCCUAAAACCAAUCUUAGUUCGGAUUGAGGGCUGCAACUCGCCCUCAUGAAGCUGGAAUCCGUAGUAAUCGCGUUUCAACAGAACGCGGUGAAUACGUCCCUGCUCCUUUCACGAAUUCGCCGAAUCACUAGU
rnacentral:rRNA from 1 species